rnacentral:rRNA from 1 species
GACGAACGCUGGCGGCGUGCUUAACACAUGCAAGUCGAACGGAAAGGCCCUGCUUUUGUGGGGUGCUCGAGUGGCGAACGGGUGAGUAACACGUGAGUAACCUGCCCUUGACUUUGGGAUAACUUCAGGAAACUGGGGCUAAUACCGGAUAGGAGCUCCUGCUGCAUGGUGGGGGUUGGAAAGUUUCGGCGGUUGGGGAUGGACUCGCGGCUUAUCAGCUUGUUGGUGGGGUAGUGGCUUACCAAGGCUUUGACGGGUAGCCGGCCUGAGAGGGUGACCGGCCACAUUGGGACUCAGAUACGGCCCAGACUCCUACGGGCGGCAGCAGUGGGGAUUAUUGCACAAUGGGCGGAAGCCUGAUGCAGCAACGCCGCGUGCGGGAUGACGGCCUUCGGGUUGUAAACCGCGUUCGCCUGUGACGAAGCGUGAGUGACGGUAAUGGGUAAAGAAGCACCGGCUAACUACGUG